UGGUUUGCCAAGUCAUUCUGAAUCUAAUGAUCUUUGGGUGAUUCCCCAGACUGAGGAGGAAGCAACAGCAGCUGUGCAUUGGGCCCACAGAAAGAAUGGUUGAAGACUGCAGUGUAUUUUGAGUUUCUGCUUUGGAGGGGAGGGUUGGUCCUAAUGCCCACAGACGAAUGGCCUCCUGGUUCCAGUCAAGGCCAGCCCAAAGUCUGCUUCUGGAACCCAAACCUAAGGGACUCA
rnacentral:lncRNA from 1 species